CGCCUGGGGCCUGAAAGAGCUAGUGGUGUCUGCAAAUUUUCCAUCUCUCUAAACAAGAUGAUGUCCACCAGUUUACUAUGAGAAAGCCCCUGAACAAAGACGAUCCUGGACGUGGGGUCAUCUUGUUCUCUCACCACAAGUCGAAUGGCAAGCUGGAGCCUAAAAGUGGCUGUGCCCAAGCUUUCAGUGCUUUUUCUCCUGGGAGAAACUUUGGAAUGAGCACAUCCUCUCAUGACUGAAGCUGUUAUUUAUUAAAGCAGAGAUGCAUUGAUGAAUUCAGCAGCAGUGGACCGAAGUUGAGCUCUGCUGCAGGAUGCUGAAGACCUUGUCAGAUGUGGGCAGCCAGUAGACAGCUGUAAGCCAACCCUUGACCUGAGAGCUC
rnacentral:lncRNA from 10 species